rnacentral:lncRNA from 1 species
AUAUCUGUUAACGUUAGUGGACUCUGCUGCUCAGCUCUCUGAUCAGUGCUUGUGUCGAUGUUGAUAACUAACCAAAGCAGAUGCCUGCAGAGACUUUAAAAUUGUAAAAUAAAGAUGGACGCUGCCCGCCGGCGCCUCUCAUUACACAAGUUAACUUAUUUCACUCGGUAACUACUAUAGACACCGCCUAGACUAAAACCUGUAUUUUCUUGUACGUUCGCGCCACACGCUGUUACAUCAGAGAACAUGUCCAAAGCUAAAGGAAAAGUUGUGGUCACUGAUGGAGUGUAUGUUCUGCGGGCCCUGAAGGGCUGCGGACUUCAAGAGAAGAGAUGCAAAUGAACUUGUGUGUUUACGCAGGACUCAAACUUGUUUCAGGCUAAAGGAACCUUGGGGAUAUGGGGGACACAGACAGGAAGCCUGAAGACCGACUCCCAGACCACACAAUGUCCUUCUCCACUGUCUAAGUCUGUAACAUAACAAACGGGAUCCUGUCUUCUUCUUUUCUAAUAGAAUUUUGUAAAGGAAAUGAAUGUAGCCUCCCAACGCCUCUGAUUUGAAAGGAACACCUUGUAUUUUUUUAUAUGCAUCUCUUCUCCACUGUGACUUUUGUUUGCAAACUGGGCUCCGAGGCUCCAGAGUUUGGAAUAGAAAUGAAUUGCUUAGCUUUGCCUUUCCCUGGGGGCAUGGCCCCCGACAGAAAUGUAAUUAUGCUCAAGUGCAUUAAUCAAGGCCACUGUGCACGCCGUCGGACUGCUGACGUAGUUAUGAUUCCUGUAAAACUCCAUAACUGGUCACAGCACGUUCAUAAUCACUGUACUUUUUUGACCCAGAUAAAAUUAUUUUAAUGGUGUUCUGGUACUGUAAAUGGUGUCCUUUAAAUUAUUAAUAACUCUUGGGCUGAGGGGGGCAGGCACAGGGAUGGUGUCCGGAGACACACCACACUUCCCAUCCCCCUCACAUCCUUUUUGUUAAAAAUAAAAAAGCACUGU